UACGUAGGCAGCGAGCGUUGUUCGGAGUUACUGGGCGUAAAGAGUGCGUAGGCGGUGCCCUAAGUCUGGUGUGAAAUCUCCCGGCUCAACCGGGAGGGUGCGCCGGAAACUGGGGUGCUCGAGUGUGGGAGAGGCAGGCGGAAUUCCCGGUGUAGCGGUGAAAUGCGUAGAUAUCUGGAGGAACACCGGUGGCGAAGGCGGCAUCCUGGACCGGUAUUGACGCUGAGGCGCGAAAGCCAGGGGAGCAAACGGG
rnacentral:rRNA from 1 species